UAGAUAUUAUACUUCAUGAUCUAAAUCUUUUAUUAUUUGGAUCGGCGAUGCUUGUAAUUAUGAAUGUUAUAAAGAUAUUUGAGUGUUUUGGGUAUUGAAUUCAGUAACAUUUCACCUAAUGGGAAUAACGAUUCGUGCACAUGUCUAUGUCAUUUUCCCGAUGAAUAUUUAUUUAGCUUUUUUAAUGCUAAUUUUAAAGUUAGUGGAAUACAUCCAUGCAUGCAUAUAUACUUG
rnacentral:lncRNA from 1 species